rnacentral:rRNA from 1 species
CCUACGGGAGGCAGCAGUGGGGAAUAUUGGACAAUGGGCGCAAGCCUGAUCCAGCCAUACCGCGUGUGUGAAGAAGGCCCUAGGGUUGUAAAGCACUUUAAGUUGGGAAGAAAAGUUAUUGGUUAAUACCCAAUAGCCGUGACAUUACCAUCAGAAUAAGGACCGGCUAAUUCCGUGCCAGCAGCCGCGGUAAUACGGAAGGUCCAAGCGUUAAUCGGAAUUACUGGGCGUAAAGCGCGCGUAGGUGGUUUAUUAAGUUGGAUGUGAAAUCCCCGGGCUCAACCUGGGAACUGCAUCCAAAACUGAUUCACUAGAGUACGAUAGAGGGAGGUAGAAUUCACAGUGUAGCGGUGGAAUGCGUAGAUAUUGUGAAGAAUACCAAUGGCGAAGGCAGCCUCCUGGAUCUGUACUGACACUGAGGUGCGAAAGCGUGGGUAGCGAACAGGAUUAGAUACCCUGGUAGUCCACGCCGUAAACGAUGUCAACUAGCUGUUGGGGAACUAUGUUCUUCAGUGGCGCAGCUAACGUAGUAAGUUGACCGCCUGGGGAGUACGGCCGCAAGGCUAAAACUCAAAGGAAUUGACGG